rnacentral:rRNA from 1 species
UACGGGGGGAGCAAGCGUUGUUCGGAUUUACUGGGCGUAAAGGGCGCGUAGGCGGCCACCGCAAGUCGGUUGUGAAAUCUCUGGGCUUAACCCAGAAAGGUCAACCGAUACUGCGGGGCUAGAGUGCAGAAGGGGCAACUGGAAUUCUCGGUGUAGCGGUGAAAUGCGUAGAUAUCAGGAGGAACACCGAUGGCGAAGGCAGCCCUCUGGCCCGACACUGACGCUGAGGUGCGAAAGCGUGGGGAGCGAACGGG